CACAGAGGUCUCAAGCGUUGUUCGGAUUCAUUGGGCGUAAAGGGUGCGUAGGUGGCGGGGUAAGUCAGGUGUGAAAUCUCGAGGCUCAACCUCGAAACUGCACUUGAUACUGCCUUGCUCGAGUACUGGAGAGGAGAUUGGAAUUUACGGUGUAGCAGUGAAAUGCGUAGAUAUCGUAAGGAAGACCAGUGGCGAAGGCGAAUCUCUGGACAGUUACUGACACUGAGGCACGAAGGCCAGGGGAGCAAACGGG
rnacentral:rRNA from 1 species